CAAUAGCGUAUAUUAAAGUUGUUGCAGUUAAAAAGCUCGUAGUUGGAUUUCUGUUUUGGAUGUCCGGUCCGCUCCCUCUGGGAGUGCGUACUUAUGGAUGUUCGAGGCAUUUUUUGUGAGGUCGCUUUUCUGCCAUUAAGUUGGUGGUUUUGCGGGCUUGCAUCGUUUACUGUGAAAAAAUUAGAGUGUUUAAAGCAGGCGUUUGCUCAUUUGAAUACAUUAGCGUGGAAUAAUAAGAUACGGCCUUGGUGGUCUAUUUUGUUGGUUUGCACACCAGGGUAAUGAUUAAUAGGGACAGUUGGGGGUAUUCAUAUUUCAGCGUCAGAGGUGAAAUUCUUGGAUCGCUGAAAGAUGAGCUUAGGCGAAAGCAUUUACCAAGGAUGUUUUCAUUAA
rnacentral:rRNA from 1 species